rnacentral:rRNA from 1 species
ACCGGCGCACGGGUGCGUAACACGUAUGCAACCUACCCAUAAGCGGGGAAUAACCCGGAGAAAUCCGGACUAAUACCGCAUAGUACGUUUGAGUGGCAUCACUUAAACUUUAAAGAUUUAUCACUUAUGGAUGGACAUGCGCAUGAUUAGAUAGUAGGCGGGGUAACGGCCCACCUAGUCAACGAUCAUUAGGGGUUCUGAGAGGAAGGUCCCCCACAUUGGUACUGAGACACGGACCAAACUCCUACGGGAGGCAGCAGUGAGGAAUAUUGGUCAAUGGGCGAGAGCCUGAACCAGCCAAGUCGCGUGAAGGAAGAAGGAUCUAUGGUUCGUAAACUUCUUUUUUAGGGGAAUAAAGUGCGGUACGUGUACCGUUUUGUAUGUACCCUACGAAUAAGGAUCGGCUAACUCCGUGCCAGCAGCCGCGGUAAUACGGAGGAUCCGAGCGUUAUCCGGAUUUAUUGGGUUUAAAGGGUGCGUAGGCGGAAGAAUAAGUCAGUGGUGAAAGUUUGCAGCUCAACUGUAAAAUUGCCGUUGAAACUGUUAUUCUUGAGUGUAAAUGAGGUAGGCGGAAUGUGUUGUGUAGCGGUGAAAUGCAUAGAUAUGACGCGGAACGCCGAUUGCGAAGGCGGCUUACUAAGAUACGACUGACGCUGAGGCACGAAAGCGUGGGGAUCGAACGGGAUUAGAGACCCUGGUAGUCCACGCC